rnacentral:rRNA from 1 species
AUUGAACGCUGGCGGCAGGCCUAACACAUGCAAGUCGAGCGGAUGAAGGGAGCUUGCUCCUGGAUUCAGCGGCGGACGGGUGAGUAAUGCCUAGGAAUCUGCCUGGUAGUGGGGGAUAACGUCCGGAAACGGGCGCUAAUACCGCACACGACCUGAGGGAGAAAGUGGGGGAUCUUCGGACCUCAAGCUAUCAGAUGAGCCUAGGUCGGAUUAGCUAGUUGGUGGGGUAAAGGCCUACCAAGGCGACGAUCCGUAACUGGUCUGAGAGGAUGAUCAGUCACACUGGAACUGAGACACGGUCCAGACUCCUACGGGAGGCAGCAGUGGGGAAUAUUGGACAAUGGGCGAAAGCCUGAUCCAGCCAUGCCGCGUGUGUGAAGAAGUUCUUCGGAUUGUAAAGCACUUUAAGUGGGGAGGAAGGGCAGUAAGUUAAUACCUUGCUGUUUUGACGUUACCAACAGAAUAAGCACCGGCUAACUUCGUG